rnacentral:lncRNA from 1 species
CUUUAGAGAACCUCUCUUGAACCACAUCUAAGGACCCUGCUGAACACAUAACUUUCAUACUGAAACAUCUUCUAUGUUGAAAGGGGAGGUUUUCUAGGAAAAUGUUAGACUUCAUUUUGAAACAAAUGGAGUGGGGACAUGGCAGCAGUAAUUGAAAUAGAAAUUCUUCAAUUAUCCUCCUCCAGAUUCUGUAGACCUCCUUUUCCCUCAAAGGAUCACAUACGAAUUUCAUGCAACCUCUGGCAAUAUUCUGGCUGGAGACAAGUGUCUGUCAUGGGCGACAAGAAUGUAAUCUCUAAAUAAUUCCAUCCUGGGCCUCAACAGAGAAGAGUGUUUCCAUGUGGUCGCCUUUCCGACGGACUAGAUGAGCAGAGACCACCAAGCACAUUUCAAGAAGGACAUUAGAUGCCCCUAGGGCCAGGAGCUCAGAAGUGAGUUAUUAGAGUUUUGUUUACUAUGCCCUCUGGAUAUGGUCCUAAUUAGGUGGAACUGAUAAGCUUGACAAAUUUUGAACUAUUGCUUUCUGUUUGCCAAUAACAAAAUAUUACUGUGUAGGAUGUUAGUUAUUUUCCGCAUCAAACCCUUUCUGUUUUCCUGAAGAUAUCAUUGGUUUCCAUUUCAAUGCGCCUUUUGUUUAGAGGGAGAAUAAUGUCCUUUUUACCUUUUUUUAAUUAAAGCACCUUGGUGACUAAUGUACAAUUUCUGUAGACUUGCCUCUGAACCCCAACCUCUAUACUUCCUUCACUUCCGGGCUCCGUGAUUUUACUUUCUCAGGUAGUAAUUAGAUCAAGCAGAGGACUCAGGCACAGAAUACAUCUUCCCAAAUCUCAUUAGCAUUUCUUAGCUAAUAUUCCCUCCCUUCCUUCCUUCUUCCCUUUCUCUUUUCUUUUCCUUCCUUCCUUCCUUUCUUCCUCCCUCCCUCCCUUCCUUCCUUUUUUCUUUCCCUCUCUUUUUUCUUUCUAACUGUGACUUAUGCAGACCCUACUGUCAAGGAUAUACCUAUAAACAUUAGAUUCCUAUUUUUAACUGGUGGGAAGCUGUAUGGAGAGUAUUUUUAGAAACCCCAAACAACCAGCAGUAAUAGCAACAACAGAA